ACUUCCGCUCGCAUGGCUACUAUAAGUCGACUGUAUUUUUCAGUUGCCGCGUUAUUAAAAACUUAUACAUUAAUUUUUUUUUCACGCCAAAUCAUCGCUUAUUAUUUCUAUUUCUAUUUUGACUAAUUUUGAGGGAGCCAGAAUUAUUUAUUUACAAUUUGUUCCCAAACAGUCAAUUAGAUGCCAAAUAAAUUGGAAAGAAGCAAAUUAGAUGAUUAUUCACUGCACUGAUUUUCAUGUCCCAUUCAUAUAACACGCUUCAUUUCGCGUGGUAUAAUUUUAAGAAAAAUAAAGGUCUCCGUUUGAAUUGCAUUAUUUAUCGACCGGUUGAAAACCCAAACACGCAGUGGGCCGAGCUCAUUUGAAAAAAUAUGAUUGUUUCUUUUCUGGUAGCGCCCUUGAGACGAAUUUCUACCGAUUUCUGCGCUACAUAGUUACGGAAACCA